GCCGGAAUAGCUACAG
rnacentral:tRNA from 1 species